AUUGAACGCUGGCGGCAGGCUUAACACAUGCAAGUCGAGCGGAGUGAUGGUGCUUGCUACUGGACCUAGCGGCGGACGGGUGAGUAAUGCUUAGGAAUCUGCCUAUUAGUGGGGGACAACAUCCCGAAAGGGAUGCUAAUACCGCAUACGUCCUACGGGAGAAAGCAGGGGAUCUUCGGACCUGGCGCUAAUAGAUGAGCCUAAGUCGGAUUAGCUAGUUGGUGGGGUAAAGGCCUACCAAGGCGACGAUCUGUAGCGGGUCUGAGAGGAUGAUCCGCCACACUGGGACUGAGACACGGCCCAGACUCCUACGGGAGGCAGCAGUGGGGAAUAUUGGACAAUGGGGGGAACCCUGAUCCAGCCAUGCCGCGUGUGUGAAGAAGGCCUUAUGGUUGUAAAGCACUUUAAGUCGGGAGGAAGGGCUGUAGGCUAAUACCUUGCAGUUUUGACGUUACCGACAGAAUAAGCACCGGCUAACUUCGUGCCAGCCGCCGCCGUAA
rnacentral:rRNA from 1 species